rnacentral:rRNA from 1 species
UGGGGAAUAUUGCACAAUGGAGGGAACUCUGAUGCAGCGACGCCGCGUGAACGGAGAAGGCUUUCGAGUCGUAAAGUUCUUUUAUAUGGGAAGAUAAUGACGGUACCAUAAGAAGAAGCCCCGGCUAACUACGUGCCAGCAGCCGCGGUAAUACGUAGGGGGCUAGCGUUGUCCGGAAUCACUGGGCGUAAAGGGUUCGCAGGCGGAAAUGCAAGUCAGGUGUAAAAGGCAGUAGCUUAACUACUGUAAGCAUUUGAAACUGCAUAUCUUGAGAAGAGUAGAGGUAAGUGGAAUUUUUAGUGUAGCGGUGAAAUGCGUAGAUAUUAAAAAGAAUACCGGUGGCGAAGGCGACUUACUGGGCUCAUUCUGACGCUGAGGAACGAAAGCGUGGGUAGCAAACAGG